GAUGAACGCUGGCGGCGUGCCUAAUACAUGCAGGUUGAGCGAACGGACGAGAAGCUUGCUUCUCUGAUGUUAGCGGCGGACGGGUGAGUAACACGUGGAUAACCUACCUAUAAGACUGGGAUAACUUCGGGAAACCGGAGCUAAUACCGGAUAAUAUUUUGAACCGCAUGGUUCAAAAGUGAAAGACGGUCUUGCUGUCACUUAUAGAUGGAUCCGCGCUGCAUUAGCUAGUUGGUAAGGUAACGGCUUACCAAGGCAACGAUGCAUAGCCGACCUGAGAGGGUGAUCGGCCACACUGGAACUGAGACACGGUCCAGAUUCCUACGGGAGGCAGCAGUAGGGAAUCUUCCGCAAUGGGCGAAAGCCUGACGGAGCAACGCCGCGUGAGUGAUGAAGGUCUUCGGAUCGUAAAACUCUGUUAUUAGGGAAGAACAUAUGUGUAAGUAACUGUGCACAUCUUGACGGUACCUAAUCAGAAAGCCACGGCUAACUACGUG
rnacentral:rRNA from 1 species